UUUUUGUUAAAUUAGUAAGUUGGGUUCAUUGUUUUUCUAACCUCACCGUAUUUGUUUUUUCCUUUUUUCGAUAUAUUACCUUUUUGCGUCUCACAUUCUCAACGCACACCUGUUUUUUUCUUCGGCAUAAUUAGCAGAGCAACAUCGCUUGGAAGCUAACAUGUCUGCUGGCGGCAGACGCCGUGCUGGCGACGCUCAGGAACAAAGCACCCAAGAUGAAAUUCGCCACAGCGGCUGCAUCUGAGUUUGGUUCAGGCAGGCCUUUAUGUGCUAGAUCGGAGAUCGCGAGAGAGCUGCAAUCAGGGAAGUGUCACGGAUGCAGGUGAUAUGUGCGUCCCCCACCGCCACCACCGUAACCGCCACCACCAAAGCAAAGGCCGCUUUUGAGUUCCUUUUGCCCCAGACAGACGGCUUCCACACUGCGAUAACACAGCUGACGAGCUUAUUUUGCAGCAGCAGAUGUCAUUCAGACCCAAACCACUGGU
ensembl:lncRNA